GUUGCGUUUUCAUUUUCGUCUUGAAUAUAUUCCGUUUCUCUCAAAUUAAUUGUUUGAUAAACGCGCGAUGUAACCUCGAUCAUUCCACAUUCUCGAUCGCAAAAAUAAAGCGAAUUCUACGGAGAAUUGUGAGCAAAAACAGCUGAUCUGAAAACGUUCCAGGCAGCGAACAAGAUACGUAUUCGAAAUUUAAAGCAAUCGUUAAUUGAAUUAGACACUUCCGAAACGCUCGUUACUGAACACAAUUAAUAGAUUUCAGGAUUUAACAGAAUGAAGACAAUAUAAUUUCACAAGCUUCGAUAUGCUUGCAAAGGAAUAUGGAUCAUGUAUCAAAGUCUGUGAGGUUCAAUUGAAAUAAUUAUUAAUUAUCGCGGAAGGAAUUAUCGCUAUGUCCGAAGCAUAGAACGCAGUUCUCCAGCGACACGUGGACCAGCUAUGCAUGCUGCCGUAAAUCGAUUGGAGUCCGAAAUUAAUCAAUAACAAACGAUCGUAAACGUAUAAACGUACUAUAAAUUUAAACGUGCGAACUGUAUUAUCGGACAAUUUUAUUUAUAAUUCGACUAUUACACUCCCGACAAUUUUGUACAUACUAAAAUUUUUCAAUUUCCAGAAUACGCUAUUAAAAUAUGCACAUAUGCGAAAUA